rnacentral:lncRNA from 1 species
GGCUGGAACCAGUGCUGGGUGGUAUCUACUUGUUGCAGGGCAUGGGAGAUGGCUGAACAGCAGAAUGGACAGGAAAAAGCUGGGUUUGAGAAUAUCCAGCUUGUUUCUUGUGAGAAGCAAUAAGCAGAUUCCCAGGAGCUAGGGGACCAAGCUGCUCCUGUUGCAGGAAUGCUGAGGCUUUGACCAGCAUCUGUAGAGAUUGAGAAGAGACAGUUGGGCUGUGGGUGGAUGGACUUUGGAUCCAGUCCCAACAGGUUUUGCUGACAGAUUGGAAGUGGGUGUGAGAGAGAAAGUCAAGGAAAGCCCUAGGACGUUGGCUUGAGCCACAGGAAGGACAGGACUGCCACCCUGUGAGACAGGGCCACCUGUGAGCAGAGCUGCACAGGCUCUGUCGGAAGAAUGUCUUGUGAAGAGGAUCCCAGUGUUGCUGAGUGGAUUCUGAGAAGGGGCAGCAGAAAGUGUGGUACCAAGAACUUGAGGCUCAAUAGGGAGACCCAGCUCCUCAUGAAAGCAUAGAGUCACCAGGACAUUGAUACAGUCUAUGUUGUCAUAAGAAUAGAUACAGUUCAGGAGCUAGGGACAUGUCUGAGAUGGUAAGGCGCUUGCUAUGCAAGCGUGAGAACAUGAUUUCAGUUCCCACAGCUCCUGUAACCCCAGCAGUGGGAGGAUGGAGACAGGAGAUCCCUGAGGCUCACUGACCAACCGGGCUAAUCACCAAAAUGGUGAGCUCUGUUGAAAGAGAGACUGUCUACAAAAAUGAGUUGGAACUAGACAUGAUGUCAGAUAUCUUUAAUGUGGCACUGGAGAGGCAGACGCAGGUGAAUCUCUGUGAGUUCAAGGCCAUCUUUGUCUACAAAGUAAGUUGUGGGCCAGCCAGGACUACAUACUGAAACCCUGAU